rnacentral:lncRNA from 10 species
UUCACAAUCAAUCAUGGGUAGAGACAACCCUGAAGAAAGAGAUUACAUGGUGAGAGUUUUAAUAAGAAAGAGUAAGGAGGCUGUAUUUCUAGGGCUGCUGGGAAGAAAGGAAAGAGAGAACAGGGAACUGGCUGAGCAGAAGUCACAACCAAGAGCUGCAUUUGCCCAACAAUGAUAUACAGAAUGUUAAAUGAAAUCAAAUAGGCUGGAGUGCCCAGAAAGAAUAGGCACCUGCCAAUGAGGAAUUCUUAAAGCCGAUGAGGAAAUACCCACAGGCGGUUGAGCAAAUUCCUGAAGAGCAUACAACUUGUAAGAUGAUGACUUCAAAGCUCUUUGAGUGCUAUCAGAAUUUAAAUCAGACACAAAGAGCAUAUAUUCUGUUCUCUUCCUCCAUUUGCAAGUUUCCAGGCAUGGGGUCCACUCAUGUGUGAUACAGCCCUGCCUGUGACAGAUUAGGAAUUACAAUACACGGCACUUUGGGAGGCCAAGGCAGGUGAAUCACAGGUCAGGAGAUCGAGACCAGCCUGGCCAAUAUGGUGAAACCUGCCUCUACUAAAAAUACAUAAAUUAGCUGGGCAUGGUGGUGGGUGCCUGUAGUCCCAGCUACUUGGGAGGCUGACGCAGGAGAAUAGCUUGAGUCCUGGAGGUGGAGGUUGCAGUGAGCUGAGAUAGCGCCACUGCACUCUAGCCUAGGUGACAGAGCGAGACUCCAUCUCAAAAAAUAAAUAAAAAUUACUGUUCUGCCACUUCACAUGAAAUGGAACAAUUUUUCCACAGUAUAAUUCCAACUCCCAUCCUAUGUGCUACUGAUGUCACAUAUUUUACUUGUAUCUACAUUGUAAAUAGCACAAGAAAAUAUUUUUAUUUUUUUGUUAAAUUGUCUAUUUUUUAAAUUUCAAGAAUAAAAACAUGAGUAGUUGCUUAUGUUUGCCCAUAUAUUUAUCAUUUCUGAAACUCUUCAUUCCUGUCUGUAGAUCUGAAUUUCCAUCUUAUAUUAUUUUCAUUCUACCUGAAGAACUUCCUUUAGUAUUUCUCGUAACGCUAGUCUGCUGGCAACAAAUUUUGUCAGCUUUCCUUUAUCUAAAAUUGUCUUUAUCUCAUGAC